rnacentral:rRNA from 1 species
CCUACGGGAGGCUGCAGUGAGGAAUAUUGGUCAAUGGGCGCGAGCCUGAACCAGCCAAGUAGCGUGAAGGAUGACUGCCCUACGGGUUGUAAACUUCUUUUGUCGGGGAACAAAGGCGGAGACGCGUCUCCGGAUGAGUGUACCCGAAGAAAAAGCAUCGGCUAACUCCGUGCCAGCAGCCGCGGUAAUACGGAGGAUGCGAGCGUGAUCCGGAUUUAUUGGGGUUAAAGGGUGCGCAGGCGGGAGAUCAAGUCAGCGGUAAAAUGUCGGGGCUCAACCCCGGCCGGCCGUUGAAACUGGUUUUCUCGUGUUGGCGCGACGUAUGCGUACUUCGUGGUGUCGCGGUGACCUGCCUCGCUCUCACGA